CCUACGGGGGGCAGCAGUGGGGAAUAUUGGGCAAUGGGCGCAAGCCUGACCCAGCAACGCCGCGUGAAGGAAGAAGGCUUUCGGGUUGUAAACUUCUUUUCUCAGGGACGAAGCAAGUGACGGUACCUGAGGAAUAAGCCACGGCUAACUACGUGCCAGCAGCCUCGGUAAUACGUAGGUGGCAAGCGUUAUCCGGAUUUACUGGGUGUAAAGGGCGAGUAGGCGGGAAAGCAAGUCAGAUGUGAAAGCCAUGGGCUCAACCUGUGACCUGCAUUUGACACUGGUUUUCUUGAGUACUGGGGAGGCAGGCGGAAUUCCUAGUGUAGCGGUGAAAUGCGUAGAUAUUAGGAGGAACACCAGUGGCGAAGGCGGUCUGCUGGACAGCAACUGACGCUGAGGCGCGAAAGCGUGGGGAGCAAACAGGAUUAGAUACCCUGGUAGUC
rnacentral:rRNA from 1 species